UUUUAACUCAGUGGUAGAGUAAUCCCAUGUAACGCGUAAGCCCUCGGUUCAAACCCGACAAGGGGCU
rnacentral:tRNA from 1 species